rnacentral:lncRNA from 1 species
CUUCAACUAUUUUCUUCUUUUCCCAAACCAUUGUCGCCAUCGAUCCUUCCAAUCACCUCAAGUCCCUGUUCUCCAUUAAUUCAUCCCUUUGCUUGCCAACCAUUCCUCAUCGCUGGCCCCCUCAUCCUCUUUAUCCCUAACCAAAGUCCACUUACAACCUUUCUAACCGCUAUCGCCCCUCCUUACCUCACCCCACGCCGCUGAACUAUCUAAUUUCCUCCCCUCAUCCGCUUGUCGACCCACCCCCAAACCUACACGCUACCAUCAGUCGCCCCAACUUUAGACCAUGAAUUUUCACCUACGCCAUUCCUUACCUCCUCCUUUUCCCCAUUCACAAACCUCCUCUACUCCCUCCUCCCCUUAUUUCCGUUCAAAACUAAAACAUCUCUCCUUCCUUCACAAAGCGCCAAUCUACUUUCCUUUCUCCCUCUCCAGAAACCUCCCUUCCUCCUCAUU